UGUGGCAAGCAGUUGCCAGUGGUGAUGUCUCUGACUUCGUUUUGCACAAUCAGUCGCUUGAAUGCUGCGGCGAACUGUUGGGCACUAGGAUUGUCGUUGCACCGUCCAUGGGAUCUGAUAGCACCAAAGAAAAGUUCGAGAUGAUCUUGGCUCACCUUAUGAGAUGCCCAAGAAUCCAGUCUUCCGAUUGGUCUUCAAUAGUGGGAUGCCAUUUGGAUGUUCUCUCAGGCUGGACAGAUCCCUUGUGUGCGACAUUCUGCAAUGGCAUCCGCAACAGACAUACUUAGAACUUGAGCUGCCAAACUGACUUUCAUUGGUUGUCUUCGCCAAUCGAUAUGUGAGCUGCGGAGACGGUUAGCAAGGGUGCUGGAAACUUGUCUUCAAAUUUUUGGGGUCACUGAAGUUGCACCCAAGCUGUCUAAACAUUGCGAAGUUUGACGGUGCCCCAUCACAAGUUAAGGAGACAACAGUCGCUCCCACUUCAUGGGCAAGGACAAGACUGCGUUGUACUAGGUCAGCCCUUUGUUCACCGCCAAGUCCAUCAACAAGAAAAUAGCCCAACGGGACCUUCCACCUUCCAUUAAUAGCCACUGCCAUUAUCACGAAUGCUGCCUUAGCCAUUGGCAAGCAAUCGCCAUCUGUUCCAGUGCCCAUGUCAACAUAGCCUUGGAAUUGUUUGCCGUCCCAUUGGAGCUGCUGUCUGAUUGAAAUUUCAUCCACCAUGAGACUGCAUAAUGUUGGAAAGCCUGACUUGCUAUUCUCUGUUGCUUUCAUUUUCAAUGCAUUCAGAGCUUCUUUUGAGAACCCUGGCCUGCCAUCAACUGAUUGGUACCAUUUGCUCAGUGUUUUUGGAUGAGGCAGGCAGGUGUCGAAUACACUCCGUACAUAGUUAUA